rnacentral:rRNA from 1 species
GACGAACGCUGGCGGCGUGCUUAACACAUGCAAGUCGAGCGGUAAGGCCCUUUCGGGGGUACGACGAGCGGCGAACGGGUGAGUAACACGUGGGUGACCUGCCCUCAGCUCUGGGAUAAGCCCGGGAAACUGGGUCUAAUACUGGAUAUGACUCCACGAUGCAUGCCGUGGGGUGGAAAGCCUUGUGCGGCUGAGGAUGGGCCCGCGGCCUAUCAGCUUGUUGGUGGGGUGAGGCCUACCAAGGCGACGACGGGUAGCCGGCCUGAGAGGGCGACCGGCCACACUGGGACUGAGACACGGCCCAGACUCCUACGGGAGGCAGCAGUGGGGAAUCUUGCGCAAUGGGCGAAAGCCUGACGCAGCGACGCCGCGUGAGGGAUGAC